UAAUACGAAGGGGGCUAGCGUUGUUCGGAAUUACUGGGCGUAAAGCGUUUGUAGGCGGUUAUAUAAGCCAGUGGUGAAAGCCCAGGGCUCAACCCUGGAAUUGCCAUUGGAACUGUAUAGCUAGAGAAUGUUAGAGGAAAGUGGAAUUCCUAGUGUAGGAGUGAAAUCCGUAGAGAUUAGGAGGAAUAUCGAUGGCGAAGGCAGCUUUCUGGGACAUUUCUGACGCUGAGAAACGAAAGCGUGGGUAGCAAACAGGAUUAGAUACCCUGGUAGUCCACGCCCUAAACGAUGGGUGCUAGACGUCGGAACAUUAGUUUCGGUGUCGCAGCUAACGCGUUAAGCACCCCGCCUGGGGAGUACGGUCGCAAGAUUA
rnacentral:rRNA from 1 species